UACGUAGGGUGCAGGCGUUAAUCGGAAUUACUGGGCGUAAAGCGUGCGCAGGCGGCUCCUUAAGUCAGAUGUGAAAGCCCCGGGCUUAACCUGGGAACUGCGUUUGAAACUGGGGAGCUAGAGUGUAGAAGAGGGGGGUGGAAUUCCAGGUGUAGCAGUGAAAUGCGUAGAUAUCUGGAGGAACACCGAUGGCGAAGGCGGCGUCCUGGACCAACACUGACACUGAGGAGCGAAAGCCAGGGGAGCAAACGGG
rnacentral:rRNA from 1 species